CAAACCGGAGGAAGGUGGGGACGACGUCAAAUCAUCAUGCCCCUUAUGACCUGGGCUACACACGUGCUACAAUGGAUGGUACAACGAGUUGCGAACUCGCGAGAGUAAGCUAAUCUCUUAAAGCCAUUCUCAGUUCGGAUUGUAGGCUGCAACUCGCCUACAUGAAGUCGGAAUCGCUAGUAAUCGCGGAUCAGCAUGCCGCGGUGAAUACGUUCCCGGGUCUUGUACACACCGCCCGUCACACCAUGGGAGUUGAUAAUACCCGAAGCCUGUGACUAAACGAGGAGCAGUCGAAGGUAGGAUUGAUGACUGGGGUGAAGUCGUAACAAGGUAGCCGUAUCGGAAGGUGCGGCUGGAUCACCUCCUUUCUAAGGAG
rnacentral:rRNA from 1 species